rnacentral:rRNA from 1 species
AACGAACGCUGGCGGCAGGCUUAACACAUGCAAGUCGAGCGCCCCGCAAGGGGAGCGGCAGACGGGUGAGUAACGCGUGGGAACGUACCUUUUGGUUCGGAACAACUCCGGGAAACUGGAGCUAAUACCGGAUAAGCCCUAACGGGGAAAGAUUUAUCGCCGAAAGAUCGGCCCGCGUCUGAUUAGCUAGUUGGUGAGGUAACGGCUCACCAAGGCGACGAUCAGUAGCUGGUCUGAGAGGAUGAUCAGCCACACUGGGACUGAGACACGGCCCAGACUCCUACGGGAGGCAGCAGUGGGGAAUAUUGGACAAUGGGCGCAAGCCUGAUCCAGCCAUGCCGCGUGAGUGGUGAAGGCCUUAGGGUUGUAAAGCUCUUUUGUCCGGGAAGAUAAUGACUGUACCGGAAGAAUAAGCCCCGGCUAACUUCGUG